AUUGAACGCUGGCGGCAUGCCUUACACAUGCAAGUCGAACGGUAGAGUAGCAAUACUUGAGAGUGGCGAACGGGUGAGUAAUAUAUCGGAACGUGCCCAGUUGUGGGGGAUAACGUAGCGAAAGUUACGCUAAUACCGCAUACGAUCUAAGGAUGAACGCGGGGGACUCGCAAGAGCCUCGCGCAACUGGAGCGGCUGAUAUCAGAUUAGGUAGUUGGUGAGGUAAAAGCUCACCAAGCCGACGAUCUGUAGCUGGUUUGAGAGAACGACCAGCCACACUGGGACUGAGGCACGGCCCAGACUCCUACGGGAGGCAGCAGUGGGGAAUUUUGGACAAUGGGCGCAAGCCUGAUCCAGCAAUGCCGCGUGCAGGAAGAAGGCCUUCGGGUUGUAAACUGCUUUUGUACGGAACGAAAAGGUCCUGGCUAAUAACCGGGGCUCAUGACGGUACCGUAAGAAUAAGCACCGGCUAACUACGUGCCAGCCGCCGCCGUAACAC
rnacentral:rRNA from 1 species